GGGGUAGUAGCUCAGUUGGUUAGAGCCGCGGACUCAUAAUCCGCUGGUCGCGGGUUCGAGCCCCGCCUACCCCACCG
rnacentral:tRNA from 1 species